GGUACAAUGAACCAACGCCAUCUUAAAACAGCUGAACCAUGCGAUAAAUAUAUUAGGAAGGAACAAGAGUCAAGAACUAGCAUAUCUUUCGAGCAAAAUACUAGCUCAUACUCCCUAGGCCUGACCCCAAUUCAGGCCGAUUAGGGUCACAUAUGCUGGGGGAGAGGGGUGAGACAUUGACAGUGCUAAAUAAUAGAAGUCGAUGCCUAUGGCUUCAUCUAAUAUAAUAUAUCAUGAGUACUAUUUGAAUUUCACUAAUGGCUGGCCUAAAAGCUUGCUGACUAGGAGCUUCGAAAGGAGCACCUA
rnacentral:lncRNA from 1 species